rnacentral:tRNA from 1 species
GAGGGUAAAGCUCAGUGGCAGAGUGCCUGCUUAGCAUGCACAAGGUCCUGGGUUCAAUCCCCAAUACCUCCA